AGAAACAUUCAAAAAAGUCAAACAUAGAAGCAUAAAUUGAAAAUUCCUACUCUUCAAAGCAAGAAAAAAGUGAAUUUGUGUAAAUACUUAUUUGAACAACUGAAGUCAAUUGAGUGGGCUGGAAAAACGAUGGUUUUUUCUCUCAUGGAUAAUUAUUGAGAAUCUUGAGACAUCUUCAUCUCCUCAGGCUGCCAACGUAUCUGACAUCCCUAUGUAUCGUUACAAACAUACAAUUUUCAUAAUAAAUUAGAAAAAUCAGGGGGGAAAAGGAUAGAUACGGAAUAUGUGAAACAGAGAACUGAAAAGAAUUACGUAUUGAAAAUGAGGAAAUGGAACAAUAAUGGCUCCUUACAAAUGCUAAAACCAUUAGGCAGGAAACUGACGAACUCAAUUUUUACAAGACAAUCUAUUGGUUAACAGUAAUAAUUUUGUAGGCGCCAUCUUGGAGAAGGAGGCUCGACCCUGCACCUGAGUCCACGGCAGUUGUUGUUCACCGACGCCAAAUUUAAUUACGGGAGAUCGAUUUCUGUCCCUGGUUCCUUCCUAGGGGAUGUCAUCGGAGACCUGCAACGAUGAAGAUGAAUUAUAUAUUGACAAGAGCGUUGAGAAUGGAGACUUCGGAGCGGAAUGGAAAUAAUGCUGUAUCAAAUUAUGGACUGAAAUAGUCAUUACGUCUGUUAAAACAAAAUAUUGUUGCAUCACAGUAGAACCUCACUCAUUUGCAGCAAUUAAAUAGGAAUCAGAUUGAAAUGUAUAUGCAGAAAUCCAUCUGAUAGACUGUAUGAAGUUCAGAAAUCAAAUAAAAAAUAUAUCAUGGAAAAAAUUUAAUUCUAAUUCAUGAAAGUUUGGCAGACAUAAAGUAUAUAAAAUAGUUAAUAUAUUAAAACAAUCAGGCCGAGAGUCAUUUUUUUUUGGUGGGUCACGUUAAGAUCUUGAAUGUAUAGCUAUCUUCCCACAAAUGUGAUGCUGACUUUAAAUCUCCAUUAAGCCAUAAGUUUUUUUUAUAUAAAAUUGCAUUUAAUGAUUUCUAUUUCUUUCACAAAAAUUCCUUUUUUGUUCCAUAAAACUUCCUUCAGAAAAAAUGUAUGGAAUAAUAUUUAUUUCCCAAGGAUUACAAGUAUCUGUUUCUAAAAAAAUUGUUACAUUGUUUAAAAAUUCGGGAAUUUCCGCAGUAAGUAUAUAUGUAUAUAUAUUCCCUAGAUCGAUCAGGAUAAUUCAAUAUUCGAAUAAUAUGACUUCGAAUGACUGAAACUCUACUAUAAAUGUAAAAUUUCAGUAGGAUUAAGGUGUAUUGAACGAGAUCAAUGUAUGCACGAAACAGAUUUACGACAUAAAUGCUAACAUUUUAAAUCAUAGAAUGAUUUAAUUGUCUGUAUUUUUAGACUACCAUAUGAUCUGAAAUGUACAUCAACUAUCUGUAAUAUCUAAUUCAAACAAGGGCUUAUUUAAAUAUUUCUUUCAGCGAAAUUAAUUUAUUCAUUUUUCUACAA